CCUACGGGAGGCAGCAGUGAGGAAUAUUGGUCAAUGGGCGCGAGCCUGAACCAGCCAAGUCGCGUGAGGGAAGACGGUCCUAUGGAUUGUAAACCUCUUUUGUCGGGGAGCAAAAGACGCCACGCGUGGCGUUCCGAGAGUACCCUAAGAAAAAGCAUCGGCUAACUCCGUGCCAGCAGCCGCGGUAAUACGGAGGAUGCGAGCGUUACCCGGAUUUAUUGGGUUAAAAGGGUGCGCAGGCGGAAGAUCAAGGCAGCGGUAAAAUUGAGAGGCUCAACCUCUUCGAGCCGUUGAAACUGGUUUUCCUGAGUGAGCGAGAAGUAGGCGGAAUGCGUGGUGUAGCGGGGAAAUGCAUAGAUAUCACGCAGAACUCCGAUUGCGAAGGCAGCAUACCGGCGCUCAACUGACGCUCAUGCACGAAAGUGUGGGUAUCGAACAGGAUUAGAGACCCUGGUAGUC
rnacentral:rRNA from 1 species